GGCGAGAUGGCCGGGCGGUCUAAGACGCUGGUUUAAGGCACCAGUCUCCUCGGAGGCCUGGGUUCGAGUCCCACUCUCGUUA
rfam:Brugia malayi, FR3, WGS project CAPY01000000 data, contig: ctg1512442